rnacentral:rRNA from 1 species
UACGAAGGGGGGCUAGCGUUGUUCGGAAUUACUGGGCGUAAAGCGCACGUAGGCGGGUUGUUAAGUCAGGGGUGAAAUCCCGGGGGCUCAACCUCGGAACUGCCCUUUGAUACUGCAAUCUUGAGUCCGGAAGAGGUGAGUGGAAUUCCUAGUGUAGAGGUGAAAUUCGUAGAUAUUAGGAAGAACACCAGUGGCGAAGGCGGCUCACUGGCCCGGAACUGACGCUGAGGUACGAAAGCGUGGGGAGCAAACAGGG